CUGGAGGAUGAUGAGUUGCACCCAAGGGCUCUGCAGUGCUGUGUACUGUGGUGCCUAACAGAGCCAUAAUGGUGACACAUCCAUGUGCACAGGGGCCAGCUGACUCCAU